rnacentral:rRNA from 1 species
CUACGGGUUGCAGCAGUGAGGAAUUUUGCGCAAUGGGGGAAACCCUGACGCAGCAACGCCGCGUGAGCGAAGAAGGCCUUCGGGUCGUAAAGCUCUGUCAAGUGGGAAAAAAAUUCUUUGAUCAAUAGCCAAAGGACUUGAUGGUACCACUGGAGGAAGCACCGGCUAACUCCGUGCCAGCAGCCGCGGUAAUACGGAGGGUGCAAGCGUUGUUCGGAAUUACUGGGCGUAAAGAGCGUGUAGGCGGUUUGGCAAGUCAGAUGUGAAAGCCCUGGGCUCAACCUGGGAAGUGCAUUUGAAACUGCUUGACUAGAGUAUGGGAGAGGAGAUUGGAAUUCCUGGUGUAGAGGUGACAUUCGUAGAUAUCAGGAGGAACACCCGUGGCGAAGGCGAUUCUCUGGACCAAUACUGACGCUGAGACGCGAAAGCGUGGGGAGCAAACAGGAUUAGAUACCCGAGUAGUC